AAACUUUCAACAACGGAUCUCUUGGCUCUCGCAUCGAUGAAGAACGCAGCGAAAUGCGAUAAGUAAUGUGAAUUGCAGAAUUCAGUGAAUCAUCGAAUCUUUGAACGCACCUUGCGCCCUCUGGUAUUCCGGAGGGCAUGCCUGUUUGAGUGUCAUG
rnacentral:rRNA from 1 species